GGGGAUGUAAAGGUUUCGACGGGGGUCUUGAAGGACGAUAAGCGAGUGGAGGAGCGCACUCUCCUUAAACGGCGUACGUUUUAAAAUUAGACGACAACGAUAAUUUUGCAAUGGCAGCCUAAGGGCAGCCCGUCUUGCCUGAGAGUACCACGGCUCGGGUAAAGGCGUCGACUAGUGGUGAACGUCUGCGGGCGAUGGCUGUGACCCGCAGGUGUAUCGCAGCCUACCGAACCGAGGGGCGUGUCUGUUUGCCCGCGGCGAGGGAAUCGGCGCAAGCUGAAAUAACCGACUAGACUCGUAGAAAUUCGUUUGGAUGGGCUUUCGGACAGGAGUUCGACUCUCCUCAUCUCCACCA
rfam:Ruminococcus albus 7, complete genome.